rnacentral:rRNA from 1 species
CGCCUGUUUAUCAAAAACAUGGCUCUCUGCUAAAUAUAUAUAGGGAGUCGGGCCUGCCCAGUGAUAAAUAUUAUUUAACGGCCGCAGUACCCUGACUGUGCAAAGGUAGCAUAAUCAUUUGCCCUAUAAUUGAGGGCUAGAAUGAAUGGUCUGACAAGAACAAAGCUGUCUCUAGAAGAUUAUUUAGAAAUUAAUUUUUAGGUGAAGAAGCCUAUAUCUAACUAAAAGACGAGAAGACCCUAUCGAGCUUCAAAAAUUACUUAGGUUAACUAAUACUUUUUUUGGUUGGGGCGACCGAGGAACAACUAAAGCUUCCUAGUUUUAAAAAACUAUAGAUAUUGAUCCAAUAAAAUUGAUUAAAAAAAUAAGUUACCGUAGGGAUAACAGCGUAAUCCUCUUUAAGAGUUCAUAUUAAAAAGAGACUUUGCGACCUCGAUGUUGGACUAAAAUAUCCCAAAGAUGCAGAAGUCUUUAAAGGUUGGUCUGUUCGACCAUUAAAAUUUUACGUGAUCUGAGUUCAGACCGGA